UAUCGCCGAUUGCCUUGAGUUGAUCUGGCUCAGAACAACGCUGGCGGCGUGCCUAACACAUGCAAGUCGAGCGAGAAAAGGGGAGCAAUCCCCUGAGUAAAGCGGCGCACGGGUGAGUAACACGUGGGUAAUCUGCCCUGGAGUGGGGAAUAACACCGGGAAACCGGUGCUAAUACCGCAUACGAUCAUGAGGUCUGCGGACUUUGUGAUGAAAGGAGCAAUUCGCUCUAGGAGGAGCCCGCGGCUGAUUAGCUAGUUGGUGAGGUAAUGGCUCACCAAGGCAACGAUCAGUAUCCGGUCUGAGAGGACGGUCGGACACACUGGAACUGAGACACGGUCCAGACUCCUACGGGAGGCAGCAGUGGGGAAUUUUUGGCAAUGGGGGCAACCCUGACCAAGCAACGCCGCGUGGGUGAUGAAGCCUCUUGGGACGUAAAACCCUUUCGACGGGGAAGAAACCGCAAGGUUGACGGUACCCGUAGAAGAAGCCCCGGCUAACUCCGUGCCAGCAGCCGCGGUAAUACGGGGGGGGCAAGCGUUGUUCGGAAUUACUGGGCGUAAAGGGCGCGUAGGCGGUUCGCUAAGUUGGAUGUGAAAACUCUGGGCUCAACCCAGAGCCUGCAUCCAAAACUGGCGGGCUAGAGUUCUGGAGGGGGUAGCGGAAUUCCUGGUGUAGCGGUGAAAUGCGUAGAUAUCAGGAGGACACCGGUGGCGAAGGCGGCUACUGGACAGAACUGACGCUGGGCGCGAAGCUAGGGAGCAACAGGAUAGAUACCUGGUU
rnacentral:rRNA from 1 species